AGGAGCCGUAUGAGGUGAAAAUCUCAUGUACGGUUCGGUUUUAC
rfam:Hordeum vulgare subsp. vulgare, WGS project CAJW01000000 data, contig: morex_contig_1139172